CAACAGUUGUCAAAACAGAUUCAUUCCAACAAAAUUUCAAAACAAUAAAAUUUCCCCCUAUUCCAUAUUGUAUUUGGUUUACACUUUGCACAAAUUCAACAUCCAAAUUACACUUAGAUUAAUACCCAUAAAUAUUUAUUAUUUUAUCUAUACCCCCCCCCCCCACCCCCCCCCCCCCCCACACACACACACAACAAUAAUGGAGAAUGGUGGUUCUACAAAAAGAAUAAGACCUGAAGAUGUAAUAUGUAAACUCAAAGAUGAUGGUGAUUUUGAUAUACUUCGUCUCAAAAUUGUUCGCAAACUCAAAGAAAAUGAAGAAUUGCGGAAUAGCAUAAUAGCCACUGUGAAAGAAUCAGUAGCACUUAACCGUCCAGGCGUAGAAAAUUUGAAACCAAGGCAACUCUCCGAUGCUAUAUAUCAAGAAGUUGGGGACAAAGUCAUGGGUAAAAUUUCAGAAGAUCUGUGGAGUACAAUCAGAACUGGUGAUGGCAUUCAAACGGAGAUAACCCAAACUGUUCAAUCGGUUUACAAUAAGUUAUUGUACCCACAACUAAAUGAAGCUGGCGAAUCUUCCUCUCAUUCAGACUUGCAGCCAGCUAAGAAUGGAGUUGAAAGUAAUGGACAUAUUGCUGCGUCAGGCAGUGGGUCCGCGUUGUCUGUUGAUGCGGAGCCAAGUGAACCUCCUGGUUUUGCCCGAUUAGGUUCAAAUCAGAACAGCAAAAGUGACCAUAAGGAAUCACCCAAAGAGGAAUCAGGAAUUCCUGUUCCUGCCCAGUCAGAGACCAAUUGCUCACUUGACCCUUUGGUGCCCGACAGUGUGGAUGUUGGUGCGCCACCUGGCUUUGCUAUAGUCACGAAAGAGAAGAAUCCAGAUAAUGUCGAUGAUGAAGAUCCGGACGUGCCUCCAGGAUUUGGCUGAUCGCUUAUUAAGUUAUAAUGCUUCUGUUUAUAUUUUUGGAAAAGGUUAACCAUAUUGGGUUGAUCAUUGACGUGUCAAGUUCAAGAAGCUUGUUGACACGUGCAAAGAGUACCUUACUUUGACUUCGCCGACUAGAAGCUCAUGACCUCUCUUUCUUCAAUUUCCCGAGCUGUUUUUCCAAAAUUUCUAGGAGUUGAUGCUGUGGAUUGGACAAAGGAAAAUUAGUUGCCCAUACCAAUUGGCAAGAAGGUAUGCAACACUAACUUCAGAUACAAGAAGUGUUAUUUAUUGGUAUUAAAAAGUUCCAAGCAUGCUGUUUGGAAUUCGAUAUUUAGGUUUGUUUGCCUAAACACUCCUGUAAUAUGAAUCGGAAUUUAGGUUUAUUUGCCUAAACAAUCCUGUAAUAUGAACCAAAACUUAGGUUUUUUUUUUUUUUUUUUUUUUUUUUUUUUUUUGCCUAGGCACUCCUUUAAUUCGAUUCGCAGUUUUGAUUUGUUUGCCUAAAUACUCCUGUAAUUUACAGCAUGGAGAGCUAGAGUCCUGGCAUUACAUAAAUCUCUUUUUAAUUUCGGCAGUUUCAUUAAUACAUUGUAUUAAGUACCAUUCUAGUUGUUAAUGAAAUGAUUGUCAUAUAAUUG